rnacentral:rRNA from 1 species
UACGUUCCCGGGCCUUGUACACACCGCCCGUCACGUCACGAAAGUCGGUAACACCCGAAGCCGGUGGCCUAACCCUUCUGGGAGGGAGCCGUCGAAGGUGGGAUCGGCGAUUGGGACG